rnacentral:rRNA from 1 species
AACGCGAAGAACCUUACCAGGGUUUGACAUGGAGUUGCACCACCCCGAGAAGGGUGUCCCGCAAGGGCGGCUCCACAGGUGCUGCAUGGCUGUCGUCAGCUCGUGUCGUGAGAUGUUGGGUUAAGUCCCGCAACGAGCGCAACCCUUAUCCCUAGUUGCCAUCGGGUCAAGCCGGGCACUCUAGUGAAACUGCCUCGGAUAACGAGGAGGAAGGUGGGGAUGACGUCAAGUCCUCAUGGCCUUUAUGUCCAGGGCUACACACGUGCUACAAUGGUCGGUACAAACCGUCGCAAACCCGUGAGGGGGAGCUAAUCGGAAAAAGCCGGCCUCAGUUCGGAUUGGAGUCUGCAACUCGACUCCAUGAAGCUGGAAUCGCUAGUAAUCGCGGAUCAGAACGCCGCGGUGAAUACGUUCCCGGGCCUUGUACACACCGGCUAC